rnacentral:rRNA from 1 species
UACGUAGGGCGCAAGCGUUUAUCCGGAAUUAUUGGGCGUAAAGAGCUCGUAGGCGGUUUGUCGCGUCUGCCGUGAAAGUCCGGGGCUCAACUCCGGAUCUGCGGUGGGUACGGGCAGACUAGGAGUGAUGUAGGGGGAGACUGGAAUUCCUGGUGUAGCGGUGAAAUGCGCAGAUAUCAGGAGGAACACCGAUGGCGAAGGCAGGUCUCUGGGCAUUAACUGACGCUGAGGAGCGAAAGCAUGGGGAGCGAACAGG